GAUCCUGGCUCAGGAUGAACGCUGGCGGCGUGCCUAACGCAUGCAAGUCGAGCGAUCUCUUCGGAGAGAGCGGCGGACGGGUGAGUAACGCGUGGGUAACCUGCCCUGUACACACGGAUAACAUACCGAAAGGUAUGCUAAUACGGGAUAAUAUAUAAGAGUCGCAUGACUUUUAUAUCAAAGAUUUUUCGGUACAGGAUGGACCCGCGUCUGAUUAGCUUGUUGGCGGGGUAACGGCCCACCAAGG
rnacentral:rRNA from 1 species